rnacentral:rRNA from 1 species
GAUGAACGCUAGCUACAGGCUUAACACAUGCAAGUCGAGGGGAAACGCCAUCGAAAGCUUGCUUUUGAUGGGCGUCGACCGGCGCACGGGUGAGUAACGCGUAUCCAACCUGCCCAUCACUUGGGAAUAACCUUGCGAAAGUAAGACUAAUACCCAAUGAUAUCCCACGAAGGCAUCGGAAUGGGAUUAAAGAUUUAUCGGUGAUGGAUGGGGAUGCGUCUGAUUAGCUUGUUGGCGGGGUAACGGCCCACCAAGGCAACGAUCAGUAGGGGUUCUGAGAGGAAGGUCCCCCACAUUGGAACUGAGACACGGUCCAAACUCCUACGGGAGGCAGCAGUGAGGAAUAUUGGUCAAUGGGCGAGAGCCUGAACCAGCCAAGUAGCGUGCAGGAAGACGGCCCUAUGGGUUGUAAACUGCUUUUAUAAGGGAAUAAAGUGGGUCACGUGUGACUUUUUGCAUGUACCUUAUGAAUAAGGACCGGCUAAUUCCGUGC